CAGGAAGUUCUUUGUACCACAAGCCCUAAUCUCUUUCUCCAAGCUCAACCAUGUCUCACUUCGGAAGGUCCGGCCCUCCGGACAUCACCGAUACCUACUCUCUCCUCGUCCUCAACAUCACCUUCCGGACGAGUGCUGAUGAUCUGUUUCCGCUUUUCGACAAGUACGGCAAGGUCGUCGACAUCUUCAUCCCCAGAGACAGAAGGACUGGGGAGUCCAGGGGGUUUGCUUUUGUGCGAUACAAGUAUGCUGAUGAGGCACAGAAAGCAGUUGAGAGGCUCGAUGAAAGAGUUGUUGAUGGUCGCGAAAUAACUGUUCAGUUUGCAAAAUAUGGGCCUAAUGCAGAGAGGAUCCAUAAAGGAAGGGUUUUUGAAACUCUACCAAAAUCGAGGCACAGGUCAAGAAGUCGCAGUCCUCGGAGAAGGUACCGCGAUGACUACAGAGAUCGGCACUACAGGAGGAGAAGUCGCAGUAGGAGUUGGGAUAGGUACGAGCGUGACAGAUACCGCCAUGGGAGGGACAGAGACUACCGUAGACGAAGCAGGAGCCUUAGUGCCAGUCCUGAUUACUAUAGGAGCAGGGGAAGAGGGCGCUAUGAUGAUGAUAGUCGGAGUCGGAGUCCUAUCCGAAGCCGUUCUUUUGAUAAUGCAUCCCCUGCUCGGCGUAGUCUUACACCUCGCAGGAGUCUUUCUCCAUUAAGCAGAAGCCGCAGUGUCAGCCCUUAUGGACGCAGUCCCGCUGGGCGAUCCCCUGCUUCUCGAAGUGUUUCACCACGAGGUCGUCGCUAUUCUCGAAGCCCAUCCCCUCGACAUCCAGAUGAUCUGUGUUCGGGAUUAGAGUGAUCGAGGCUGGAUAGUGGAUGUUGAUUAUUAGCCGUUGACGCUGUUUGCCGUGAGAGUGAUGCUGUUCGCUGGUAUUAGAAGUAUGAUUGUGAUUUCAGUAAGCUGUUUGAUGGGCCAAAAACUAAACUGAUUUUCUUCAACAAGAUGAACUUUGAAGGUGGCAUGUUGAAUGGUCCUUUAGUAGCUGGUGCUGCAUAUGAAUGCGAGAUGGGCGAGUAACUUGGAGAUAUAACUUGGAUUUUUAAUUGGUUCAUGGUGCAAGUUGGUGCUUAAUAUAAGUUGGACAAGUGAUUCAUUGAUACUGAUGUGGGAUGCCGACUAUGAAUUGGGGUGACCUGAGUCAAUGUUGCAGCCACAAAUACACGGUAAUAAGUUCGUGGCUACUUAUUUAGGGUUCAGCCUUACAUAACCUGUUAGAUUACAUUCUUUGAUUCCUUAGAUCGUGCACAAAAGGAUUGUGGUUUUAGCUAUUUAGUGGUAGCUUUUAUCUGGUAUAUCAGUGUCAUAAGCAAUUUGCUAGGUUUCUAGCUGAUAAGCAGCCUUAAGUUUUCAUUUUUGUUCUAUAGGGGUUUUCUGGUGUCUAUUACUGAGUAGUGUCACCGAUUGUGGCUUCCUAGCUAAAACAUCUGCCGGGAUUUGUGUGGUAUGUUGGCAAUAUGGGUAUAACAAUUCUUAUAAUGGCAGUGAAUGUGGGAUGGUCUAGUGUUGACAUGAUAGUUGCAUUGGUGAUUUUGUAAGCUAGGUUGUACAUGUUCAUCCCGCUACAUUACCAGUCUCAAUUGCAGUUGCUUGUGCUACGUAAUGAACCAGUCUUUUAGAAAUGGGAAAGCAAUGAUAUUAGUUGCUGUAGGCCUUUGCUUGCAUAGAAUUUGGUGUGUGCAUAUCAUCACUUUGUGCCUGUUGGAAACUGGCCUGGUUAUUUGGUCGCUAGUAUAUAAAAUUGUGCUUGGUUGUGAUUUAAUUUUGUUCUGUUGGUUGGGCAUUAUACUUCCUCUUCCUGCUAAUUGUCAUUAGAUGUCAUUCCCUCGGCAAGAUUCAAUCAGAUGAAAGUACGGUAUCCAUGUUUUAGAUGCUACUUCUGUACUUAUGUGUUUUUUCUUGGAAGUGGAUUUGAUGCAUCAUUGAGCUGCAGUAGUGAUUGGAACUUUUGAGCGUUCAGGAAAUUGAAAUCUGGAUCGUAUCACCUGCCAAAAAUGCUGCCUUAACUUGUUUCGCAUUCUCACAACUCGCUGUAGUGAAGUAGGAUUGCCGAACAUGCUGGAAGUUGCAAGAAGCAAUUGUAGCGAUCAAUUCACUAAUGCAGAUGUGCACAAGUUUGUUCUUUUCAUGGUCAAGUUUUCGAAUUUAAGAAAGUAACACAGUAGUGAUUUUGGUAAAGGAUCAUCUUGCUCGGAAUUAUAUAUUCACUUUUCUUUUGCCUCGAGUGUUGCCGGAUUUUGCCAAGACACGGCAACUUGUAACGGAAUACUAGAAGAUGAUGCAUAAAGAAGAGGAAAACCAUCGGUCAAAAAUCUAUUCACUAAACAAAAUAAGAUGCCUAUACUAUGCAUUCACUCUGGGAGAUCGCUGUUGGUUCAAGACUUCAAGUGAACCCAACAUGGAUGCAUAGAGCAUGCCUGCUUAGCGUUCUGUUUUCUUAAGAGCAUUGCAGCCGUUGGAUGAACGAAACAAGAAUGUAUCAGCCGUUGAGGUACUGAUAAGCUAUACACGGAUGACAAAAAUAAUCAUGCUGCGAGGUCCAUACUUAUUUUCAACACUAGUAAGAACACAAAAGUUGGAAUGAGGAUAA